UACGAAGGGAGCUAGCGUUGUUCGGAAUCACUGGGCGUAAAGCGCACGUAGGCGGAUGUGUCAGUCAGGGGUGAAAUCCCGGAGCUCAACUUCGGAACUGCCUUUGAUACAGCACAUCUGGAGUCCGGAAGAGGUGGGUGGAAUUCCUAGUGUAGAGGUGAAAUUCGUAGAUAUUAGGAAGAACACCGGUGGCGAAGGCGGCAUCCUGGACCGGCAUUGACGCUGAGGCGCGGAAAGCCAGGGGAGCAAACGGG
rnacentral:rRNA from 1 species